rnacentral:rRNA from 1 species
UACGGAGGAUCCGAGCGUUAUCCGGAUUUAUUGGGUUUAAAGGGUGCGCAGGCGGGGGAUUAAGUCGGCGGUGAAAUUUUGCAGCUCAACUGUAAAAGUGCCUUCGAAACUGGUUUCCUUGAGUGUAGAUGAAGUAGGCGGAAUUUGUGGUGUAGCGGUGAAAUGCAUAGAUAUCACGAGGAACUCCGAUUGCGCAGGCAGCUUACUCAACCACUACUGACGCUCAGGCACGAAGGCGUGGGGAUCAAACAGGAUUAGAUACCCCGGUAGU